rnacentral:pre_miRNA from 1 species
UGCUCUGGAUUAGGCUUUGGCUUAUGGGAAUGUUGUGGCUAGUGUGAUCUCAAUCCAGACCACUACAACUUUCUCCAGAUCAGC